GAUGAACGCUGGCGGCGUGCCUAACACAUGCAAGUCGAACGGAGAUUACGGACGGAAGUUUUCGGAUGGAAGACUGUAAUUCUUAGUGGCGGACGGGUGAGUAACGCGUGGGCAACCUGCCCUAUACAGGGGGAUAGCAGCUGGAAACGGCUGGUAAGACCGCAUAAGUCGGCGAGACCGCAUGGUUUUGCCGGGAAAUGAGCAAUCAGGUAUAGGAUGGGCCCGCGUCCGAUUAGCCAGUUGGCAGGGUAAAAGCCUACCAAAGCAACGAUCGGUAGCCGGACUGAGAGGUCGGACGGCCACAGUGGGACUGAGACACGGCCCAAACUCCUACGGGAGGCAGCAGUGGGGGAUAUUGCACAAUGGAGGAAACUCUGAUGCAGCGACGCCGCGUGAGUGAAGAAGUAUUUCGGUAUGUAAAGCUCUAUCAGCAGGGAAGAUGAUGACGGUACCUGACUAAGAAGCCCCGGCUAACUACGUG
rnacentral:rRNA from 1 species